UAAGAAGUAGUAUAAGGGGAGUACAAAGAGUUUUGAUCUCUUAAGUAUAGGUUCAACUCCUAUCUUUUUAA
rnacentral:tRNA from 1 species